GCUUUCCUUUCUGCACUCCUAGUGCUCCAAGCCAACCUUGACUGCUUCCUCCUGCACUCCCAGUGCUCCAAGCCAGCCUUGACUGCUUCCUUUCUGCAUUCCCAGUGCCUAGUCUCCUUGACUCUCUAUAUGGAGAGAACAGCCUCUCUCCUACCUGCUUCCUGGGAGGAAGCCAGCAAUCCCUCUCUUUUCUCUGCCUAGCCGGGAGGGGUUUAUUCCCAC